rnacentral:misc_RNA from 1 species
AAAUGCGAUAAGUAGUGUGAAUUGCAGAAUUCAGUGAAUCAUCGAAUCUUUGAACGCACAUUGCGCCCUUUGGUAUUCCAAAGGGCAUGCCUGUUCGAGCGUCAUUUGUACCCUCAAGCUUUGCUUGGUGUUGGGCGUCUUGUCUCUAGCUUUGCUGGAGACUCGCCUUAAAGUAAUUGGCAGCCGGCCUACUGGUUUCGGAGCGCAGCACAAGUCGCACUCUCUAUCAGCAAAGGUCUAGCAUCCAUUAAGCCUUUUUUUCAACUUUUGACCUCGGAUCGGGUAGGGAUACCCGCUGAACUUAAGC